rnacentral:rRNA from 1 species
GACGAACGCUGGCGGCGUGCCUAAUACAUGCAAGUCGAGGGACCGGCGCACGGGUGAGUAACACGUGUCCAACCUGCCCUUUACUCGGGGAUAGCCUUUCGCAAGAAAGAUUAAUACCCGAUAUAAAGGAUGGGGAUGCGUUCCAUUAGGUUGUUGGUUAGGUAACGGCUCACCAAGCCUUCGAUGGAUAGGGGUUCUGAGAGGAAGGUCCCUCACAUUGGAACUGAGACACGGUCCAAACUCCUACGGGAGGCAGCAGUUCGGAAUAUUGGUCAAUCAGCGCUAGACUGGACCAGCAGAGUAGCGUGAAGGAUUAAGGCUUAUGGGUCGUAAACUUCUUUUAUAUAAGAAUAGGUACUAUAUGAAUAAGGAGCGGCUAACUCCGUGCCAGCAGCCGCGGUAAUAC